rnacentral:rRNA from 1 species
UACGUAGGGGCCAAGCGUUGUCCGGAUUUAUUGGGCGUAAAGAGCUCGUAGGCGGUUCGGCAAGUCGAAUGUGAAAUCUCCACGCUCAACGUGGAGGGGUCAUUCGAUACUGCCGUGACUUGAGUCCGGUAGGGGAGUGUGGAAUUCCCGGUGUAGCGGUGAAAUGCGCAGAGAUCGGGAGGAACACCCGUAGCGAAGGCGGCACUCUGGGCCGAUACUGACGCUGAGGAGCGAAAGCGUGGGGAGCGAACAGG